AUUUAUGGAGAGUUUGAUCCUGGCUCAGGAUGAACGCUGGCGGCGUGCCUAAUACAUGCAAGUCGAGCGAACGGAUAAGGAGCUUGCUCCUUUGAAGUUAGCGGCGGACGGGUGAGUAACACGUGGGUAACCUACCUAUAAGACUGGAAUAACUUCGGGAAACCGGAGCUAAUGCCGGAUAACAUUUGGAACCGCAUGGUUCUAAAGUAAAAGAUGGUUUUGCUAUCACUUAUAGAUG
rnacentral:rRNA from 1 species